rnacentral:lncRNA from 1 species
CAAUGAUUGUAGGACCAAGAGAAAAACAUAAGAAAUUUUGGUGACAUCAAAAGUUGAAAGUUAUGCCCAGCCUAGGGCCAAACCUCUAGACGUUUUUUAGCCAAGAAGGAGUAGUGAGCCAAAACUGGCUCUACGAAUUAGUGAAAAUGUAAUGCAUGAUGUUUAGGCAGUACUGCUUAUACUUUUCUAAAGGUUAGCUUUUUAAGCACAAAAGCAGAGUGAAUGUUAGAAAGUCACUAAUUGAACUAAUGAUCUUAAUCCUUUAGGCAUAAAUGUUGUGGUAAUACAAUUUCCACAAAGGAAUGACCCAAGUUCCAAUGUGAAUCCAGGCAUAAAUGAUGUGUUAAUGCAAUUAUGUCAAAGGAAUGACCCAAGUUCCAAUGCGAAUCCAGGCAUAAAUGAUGUGUUAAUGCAAUUAUGUCAAAGGAAUGACCCAAGUUCCAAUGCGAAUCCAGGUAUGAAUUAUGAAUAUUUCACAAUAAAAUGGUCUAGGGGAAAAUUGAGAUAAAAUUUAAUGCCAUUUG